GCUCUGGCAGCCGAGGGGCCACGCUGACCCCAGCAUCACACGGAAGGCUGGGACGUGCCCCCUCCCCCAAGAGCAGUUUCGGCUACUCUGUGUCCCCCUUUUAUGGGCUGCACGACGUGGCAGCAUUUUAACCGCCCCUUCUCAAUGCACAGCCCGGACAGGCUGUUCUCAACACUCUCUACUGCAAACUACACACAGUUUUACGUCGCCAGAAAGACCCCAAAUUUCUAUUCAAAAAGACCGUACCAGUUUCAGUUCCCGCCAACCUCAAAGGCAGAGACAAAAGGACGGUGUGCCCCUCCUGUAACUUCAUUUCUUCGGUGACUGUGAAGCUGAGGGCAGAGUCCACGCCUGGGGACAGGGCUGCCACCGCAGCGGCCACUGCGUCCAACCCUCGCUCCUCCUCCCAGAGACGACCUGCGUUCCGCUCAGGGACAGGGCUGCCAACGCAGCGGCCACCGCACCCAACGCUCGCUCCUCCUCCCAGAGACAACCUGAGCUCUGCUCAGAAGCGGCACCUCCUCAUGCUGGACUCACUCGGGCCCACAUGUGCCAAGGGGGCCUGGUUUUGGGGCCGGCGGGUUCUGCCUGAUGCUCAGAGGGUAACUGGAUGCUGAAAACUGUGAGUCUUUCUUCAACUCAGGGGAAUGUUUCCAGGGCACGCCAGGCCUCACUCACGCAGGCCUCCGCGACAACUGUUCAGCACUGACUGAGGGUGAAGUGAAAUCCUGAAAGCUGAGAGCCAGCGCCCUCACACGAGGGCUGGGACGUAACAAAAGCCCAUCAAGAGUUUUGCCCAGGGCUUUCUUGGGCCUUGAAGCAUGACGAGACCAGGACCCGUUUAGGAUUAAACAAGUUUUACUGGGGGUCUGAAAAAACUCCCCAGGCCUCCACAAACAAGUGGAGAAGGAACUCCCCAAACCUCCAUGAUUUAGCAGAAGACAAGAUAAGGGUAAACACCUGGGCCCAUUUAGAUCAAGUAAAUUUACUGAGUCUUCAGAGGAAGAUCUUCAGGACCAGACCUCAGUUAGAGAUGAGAAGAAUUGAAUCACGUACGUCUUUAGACGAAUGCACACUGACACGGAGACACAGAGCUUAGAAGGUGUGUAAGCUCUGGAAAAACUGUAAUCUGGAGUUGGUCUGGCGAUCAUUUCCAGGCCUUCUCCCUGUAACCAGUUACAGAAAUAAAAUCCCUCUUCUUCCCCAGUUCAUCUGCAUCUCGCUAUCGGGCCUCGGGAAUGAGCAACCCGACCCUGGGUUUGGUCCGGGAACGUUUUGUUCUCUGCGUGAACUGCUUUCUCAUCUGUGGUCUUUUCUGUCUUCUGGGACUCCUGUUGUUGGCACGUGGGCUCCUCCCGGGCCACUUUCCCUUUACCUGGCAGGAUCCUCUCCUGUGCCUUUCCUGGGCUGAGGGGGGAGGGAGGGAGGGAGGGAGGGUGGCCUGCCGAGGUCCCUGGGCUAAGAGGGGAGAGUGGCCUGCAGAGGUCCCUGGGCUGAGGGGGGAGGGAAGGUGGCCUGCAGAGGUCCCUGGGCUGAGGGGGGAGGGAGGGUGGCCUGCGGAGGUCCCUGGGCUGAGGGGGGAGGGAGGGAGGGUGGCCUGCAGAGGUCCCUGGGCUGAGGGGGAGGGAGGGUGGCCUGCAGAGGUCCCUGGGCUGAGGGGGGAGGGAGGGUGGCCUGCGGAGGUCCCUGGGCUGAGGGGGGAGGGAAGGUGGCCUGCGGAGGUUCCCUGGGCUGAGGGGGGAGGGAAGGUGGCCUGCGGAGGUCCCUGGGCUGAGGGGGGAGGGAAGGUGGCCUGCGGAG
rnacentral:lncRNA from 1 species